rnacentral:rRNA from 1 species
AGUGAACGCUGGCGGCAGGCCUAAUACAUGCAAGUCGAACGGCAGCACAGCAGAGCUUGCUCUGUGGGUGGCGAGUGGCGGACGGGUGAGGAAUACAUGGGAAUCUGCCCAGUCGUGGGGGAUAACGUAUGGAAACGUACGCUAAUACCGCAUGCGCCCUACGGGGGAAAGUCGGGGACCGCAAGGCCUGACGCGAUUGGAUGAGCCCAUGUUCGAUUAGCUAGUUGGCGGGGUAAAGGCCCACCAAGGCGACGAUCGAUAGCUGGUCUGAGAGGAUGAUCAGCCACACUGGAACUGAGACACGGUCCAGACUCCUACGGGAGGCAGCAGUAGGGAAUAUUGGACAAUGGGGGCAACCCUGAUCCAGCCAUGCCGCGUGAGUGAAG